AAAACAUCUAAAUAAUCUUUAAUCUAUACAAAAUAGGUUAAAAGAUAAAUAAGCUUAUACUAAUUUAUAAGUAUAAAAUUUUAAGCAGAAAUUAAUACAAAACUGAUUAAAUAUUUUAAUUUGAAACAAUAUAAUAUUAAAUGACUAUUCUAAUAAAAAUGUUAUAAUAUUUUAAACUAUGAUAAUGCAAUAUAAUACUAAUAAAUGCAGUAUAAUGCAAAUAUAACCUAACAUAAUUAUAAGAAGAUAUUUACAAUUUAAAAUUACUUCUAAUAUUUUAUAACAACUAGUAUAUUUAAUAUCUCAAAAUAAAUUUUUAUUCUUUAUAUCAAAAAUUUAAUACCAAAAAGUAGGCUUAAGCAAAUGUAAAAAAAACUAAAAUGAUACUCCAAAAAUACUAUUUCAUCUAAUUUUUAAGAUUUAAAGUAAAAUAAUAAUAGUAUGUAUGGUGCAGUCACAAAUUUCUUUAAAGACCAAAAGCUUAAAAUAUUUAAUAAAAAACUAAAUAAUCAAUUAAUAUGAAUUUAAACAUAAGUAAUGCAAAUAACCUAAAAAUAUAUAAAUGAGUUACAACUUUAUCAUUCCAUUAAAUACUAUUUUCUCCACUAAAGAGGUUUCACUUUCAAAACUCUCAUCAAAAUCUAGUAGUUAUUUAAAACUAAUGUUUAAUUUUAUGAAAAUUAAACAUUCUGAGAUCAUAAGAUUUGCAUCAUUUUUUGUUUGUAACUAUUCUAUAGGCACUUAUUACGAAUCACUCUUGGUCAUUAAUCAUUCCUAAAAAUAAAAAUGAAACCUCUUUAUAUAUAUAACAUACAGUCAGAUGAUUAAAAGGACAAUUAAAUCUCAUCAAAACAAAAGAACCAAAGAGAUAAUAAAGAAUAAAAGACGAAGAAUGGCCAAAGGUGUACAAUUGUUCAUCACUUUUGUGAUGAUCUCCAUGUUAAUAUCAACAGAAACGGUUGGAGCGAGGAAGCCUUUGAUUAAAUGUAUAAGUCUACUAUAUUUUCCCUGCAAUCCACAUGAUAAGGGACAAUGCUUAAGGGCGUGCAAACACAAGUAUAAAAAUACGGAAAUCGGAACUUGCAAAAAAAUCCCACCGCCCCCACCAGGAAUAAGAUUCCUAAAAAUGGCUUGCGAUUGCGAAUACAUGGCCGUUGAAUGCUCAUGAAAAUUAUAAUUCAAUUUACUAUUCAAAUUGAUGAUUAGAUUUGGAUGAAAUUAUUUUACAUAUUUAUAAUUUAAAAUCCAAAAAAUGGAUUUAAUAUUAAGUUUUUAUUAUUUAUUCUUGUACCAAUAAAUAUUUGAUGUUAUAGAUAUGGAGGUUACGUCCUU